GAGGAAGGCACUCGGAAGGUGGGGGCAGAAAGGAAGUCGAUGAUUCGCGGAGCUUGUCGCAUCAGAACUGAGUCUCAAUAGGGCAUUCAGAAAGUCCUUCAAAUGGAGCCUCAAUCAAGAAAAUUACAACACAGGGACAACAGCACUUUCUCCACAGACAACUGCACUUUCCCACUCAAAGGACAAGUGGUGGCUCCAGACUGUCUGAAGACAGGAGUCUGUCAAGUGUCUGCUUUAAGAAAUCAGGUGUGCUGGCUGCUCCUAACUCUCAGAAGAAUGGGGAAGGGAGAUAAAGUGAUGCCCAGCCCAGCCCACAGGACACCUCCCCGCUCCAAGCCCUGUUCCUUACAUGCUGUCAUUGCUGAACACGGCUAGCCUCUGGGACUCCUGAGGAGAAGAAAAUAUGCAAGGAAGAACAGGAGACAUUUAGAUCUUAAAAUACCAGAAGUCUGAAGAUAGCAAAUUAUCUCUGAGAUGUUUAUCUUCUCUCAACUAAUUUGAAAUGCUACUUUGAAAAUGUGUAAGAUCUUGUAUAUGCACCAGUCUUGGAAUAUU
ensembl:antisense 1700034P13Rik RIKEN cDNA 1700034P13 gene